CGCACGGGUGAGUAACACGUAUGCAACCUGCCUGCCACAGCCGGAUAAUCGGGAGAAAUUCCGUCUAAUACGGCAUAAUGCAUCGACGGGACAUCCUGUUGGUGCCAAAGGUUAAUUCCGGUGGCGGAUGGGCAUGCGCCGCAUUAGUUAGUUGGCGGUGUAACGGACCACCAAGACGACGAUGCGUAGGGGUUCUGAGAGGAAGGUCCCCCACACUGGUACUGAGACACGGACCAGACUCCUACGGAAGGCAGCAG
rnacentral:rRNA from 1 species